rnacentral:rRNA from 1 species
AUUGAACGCUGGCGGAAGGCCUAACACAUGCAAGUCGAACGAGUGGCGGACGGGUGAGUAAUGUCUGGGAACCUGCCUGAUGGGGGGGGUUCACUACUGGAAACGGUAUCUCAUACCGCAUACCAUAAGAUGUUCCCAGAUGGGAUUAGCUUGUUGGUGGGGUAACGGCUCACACAGGCGACGAGCCCUAGCUGGGCUGAGAGGAUGACCAGCCACACUGGAACUGAGACACGGUCCAGACUCCUACGGGAGGCAGCAGUGGGGAAUAUUGCACAAUGGGCGAAAGCCUGACGCAGCAAUGCCGCGUGUAUGAAGAAGGCCUUCGGGUUGUAAAGUACUUUCAGCGGGGAGGCGGUACCCAAAGAAGAAGCAACGGCUAACUCCGUGCCAGCAGCCGCGGUAAUUC